AGGACAAUGGGCGAAAGCCUGAUCCAGCCAUGCCUCGUGUGUGAAGAAGGUCAGCGGAUUGUAAAGCACUUUAAGGUGGGAGGGAGGGUUGUAGAUUAAUAAUCUGCAAUUUUGACGCUACCAACAGAAUAAGCACCGGCUAACUUCGUUCCAGAAGCCGCGGUAAUUCGAAGGGUGCAAGCGUUAAUCGGAAUUACUGGGCGUAAAGCGCGCGUAGGUGGUUCAGUAAGAUGGGUGUGAAAUCCCGGGGCUCAACCUGGGAACUGCUUUCAUAACUGCUGAGCUAGAGUAAGGUAGAGGGUAGUGGAAUUUCCUGUGUAGCGGUGAAAUGCGUAGAUAUAGGAAGGAACACCAGUGGCGAAGGCGACUACCUGGACUGAUACUGACACUGAGGUGCGAAAGCGUGGGGGGCAAAC
rnacentral:rRNA from 1 species